ACUCCUGCGCCAAAAUGGCGGUGGAAGUUUAAUGGCCUUCCCGGAGGCGUCCCCUCUCCGCUUCGGAAUUAUCGCAAGCUUAUCGACGGGUCGAUUCGCCGGAAAUUGAUGACGAGGGUCCAGAGGCGUCGACGUGGAGCGACAUUCGAGCGUCCCUGAAAAAUCGUGCCUACCUCCAGCAUUCUCCACAGCCAGAGGCUUUCAGUCGUCUCGUAGAAGACUCUUGCGCGUAUCGGGAGAUUUGCCGAGACUCAACCGAGGCGCUGCACGUGGAUGGUAUUUACUCCUGGGGACCCGAAGAAGCGUCUUUCCGCUCCCGCAAAAUGACAAGCCAUGUCAAGCGCGUCGACGGGUUCCUGGAUUUCCACCGAGGUGACGUCCCGGGACGCUUUUCUUAUCGGCGCAGGACGCGGUCCCGAGAAAAAAGAUGGCGGCCGCUUUCUCAGGGGUCGCCGAGUGGCUGCGACGAGAACGGCGAGAACGCGUCGUCGACGCAAGAACUGGUUCCGUACGAUCCUAUUGUGCCGGAUAAAAAAAUGGAGAGAGAGGCUGAAAAAGAACGGAAAAAAGCUAACCGAGAUGCAAACAUUAACGGACCGUUUGCUUCCAGUGAAACGUAACGCCUCGGCCGUGGCGACACGGCUCCGGUUUCCGAGUGGACGAAUGUAAGGAGACCGGUACAAAGUAUUGCGGAGAAUGCUACGAUAUUAGUCGGGGGGGGAUAUUAGCCCUUCGAGGGCAGCGAGACGUAGAUGCGCUUCUCGUUACCUUUGUCCGAAGAGCUCAUCGUAUCGUAACGCCAAUUAAACUUUUGCAGCAAAAGAAAGAUCGUGAAAAAUUCAGGACGAAUGUCAGUCGCGGAUUACCGUUUGUUAUUUUCACAUUUUUUUCUGGACGAAUAAUCCGUGGUAAAAAAUUGAACAAAAGGAGUGGCGAUGAGGUAUUCGGUCGAAGGUGCCGAUAUGAUGGCACGCUCGUUGAGACCGCAAAUGGAGACACUCGAUCAAAGCAAACUGACUUAAAUGUGUCGGGCAUCGAAGCUCCCGCGAAAGGAUGCUAUUCAACGUUACGUUAUGUUACACCGUCUUAUUUAUCUCUUAUCUAGGAACUGUUUGGCAAUUUAUUUGCGACCUCGUUGCGGAACUCGUUCGUUAACGAGCAUUCGGAAGAAGAAACCGCUCAAGAUCCUAGGUGUUUUACUCGGCAAAAGUGGUCCCCGAGGCGCGGAUCGCGAUCAGUAAGGACUCCCAGAUCGGGAAAUUGGAGUCCGGUGGAGCGACUUGAAUUUCUAUCGGCGAUUAGCCUCCAGAUAUGGAGUCGGUGUCGAUAUUAUGGAGUUCCUGGCACUUGUUAAAUCGAGCGACCGCCUCUUAGGCCGACUAAUUGUCGGCCGAAGGUGAGGCCUUCCGAUUCGUAGGGACCUCGCGAGAAGGCGAGAUUUUUUCUUCUUUUAAAUUGUAACCUCGGUCCUCUAACGAGCACUUCGCGCACACGCCUACGAAACGAAGAAAAAUAAGAUCGCCUCGAAACAAUGCGGAGAGCAAACGGUACGUACGAGGAUUUCGAUUUAAUACGAGCCUCUAAGUGGCGCGAAACGGCGCACAAUUCAUGCGUAUCCUUUACGACGAGCAUUGACAUACUUUAAGGCCUAAGUGCCAUAAGACGUUCGUUUACCAUCUGUCGUCCUUAAGUACAUCGUUCGAGGGAUAAAAAAAAAUCACAAUUGCAGGUCUUCCGAUUAUAAAAAUACUCCCCGUAAUAAUGUCCUCGUUAAAGGAACGUUAGAUGCAGUUUUUCUUUACGAAUUAUCGAAUUAGUUUCUAAUUUCAUUAACUAUCAAUCGAUACGAUGGGGAAAGAAAUUUGUUUAAUGGUCUAUUUUUUUUUUCUUGGUUUUCAAAGAGUCGUCGAGCUAGACUCGAUCUCGGCUCCGGUCCACUUUUGAUCGGGAUAGUCAUCUGCCCCAGUUGAAUCGUUUGCGUGGGUCGAAGUGCAUCGUUUGCUGUAGUAGAAAAUCCGAGUCAAUGGGAGGAAAUCAAGAGGUCGGCCGAAAGAUCGAUUCGAUAAGGUCAUAGCGACGUCUGCGUAAUUCCGACUCGGUCGAUGUAGAGCGCGAGGGAUAGGUCAGUUCUCGAGUCGCGCGGACCCUCGCCCUUUAACCAUCGAAUGUUCGAACUCGGAAUGCUCCAUUAUAUUUCAUUCCUUUUUAUCGCCAUUCGCUUCGUAUACUGCACAUCGUAAUACGCAACUACGCAUGACGGUAAGGACACGAUACGAGGGCGCGUUUGCUCUUGUAUGUACGUACGCGCGGGAAAUCUACCACGUAUACGUGCUCUUGCCCGUGCAUGUCGCGUAUGUACGAAGACCUACUUAUAUAUACUUGUAAACGUAUAGGGCGUGUCUCCAUGCCCGAUCUAUCGCUGUUAUGUUUUUCCGAGCUGAACCGCGCAAAGCCGGAUUUCAUUGCGAGUUAUCGUUUUUCAUAAUCAAUGGACAUCGACCAUUCUUGCCGUUAAGGGCGCCGUAUUUUUUUUUUUUUAUAUAUAAUCAAGGAAGAGUCGCUUUUCGUUAAACGAGACCCCCGUUUUGAGCUCAGGUUGGUGCAUCAUUGGGUUACCGCAUAUGACGCUGGCAGAAACUUGAAACUAUCGAUUUCGAAUACGAUACUGACCUAAUUAGCCUUUUUUAGUCAAUGAUGUGUUUUUUGCUCGAAGGUCUUCUACGUGAUCCUAUCGGCAAAAAUAUCCGACACGGUUUACUUGCGCCUGGAAGCCAAUGAAAAACGCAGAUGCAGCUUUUAAGAAUAUGUUACGCUUUUUGAGUUUUAACCCUCGACGUACGCUCUUUGUUUUUUUCCGUGAUGCGCGGUUUUUUGCAAGGUGGUAUUGUACUUUAAUCGUUGCCUCUUGUAGCUUACAUUUUGAAUAUACAAUGUAAUUCUCCAAUAACUGGUUAUUCAAAGCCGCACCUGCAUUUUCCGUACCGACGGUCGAUUUUAUUGGCGAUUGCAACAACGCAUACUCCGGAAUAAAAAUGCACUUUUCUUUUGUAAUUAAAAAAUGAAUUUUAAAGACUGACAGAAAGGAGUGGUUGGCAAUAGAUUUUGACAGUAAUUUACGAUACA